UCUCACUGGGUCCUUGAACUUCUUGAAUGUCUCUGUCAAGAUCAGUUUGAGGUACAAAAGCUGUUAGACAGAUUUCUAAGCCAGGAUGAUUCUUGGCCUGUUUGGGUUGCACCAGAUAUUAAAGUUGGGAAAGGAGCAGCUUUGGUGAAAACUGAGAGUGCUUCAAUUGAUAACCCAAAAGGUACCAGGUUUGUUGCUCUGAUAGACAGGCUUAUACCAAAGAUGGGGUUUGAUAAAAUCAUAGCUGGUGCUGUUUCUAAUACGUCUUCAUCUUUAACUGAGGAUCAUAUUAAUCAACCUACCACAACUCUGCAAUGUCAUUAUUCCCGUGCCUGGCUGGCAGCUGAAAUCUUGUGCACUUGGAAAUGGAAUGGCGGCAAUGCCUUGUGCUCCUUCUUACCUUAUCUCUGUGAAUAUUUUAAUAGUGAAUGUUAUACACCUGAGGAUGAGUUGUUAGGUUCUAUUGUCACCAUUUUGCUCGAUGG
rnacentral:misc_RNA from 1 species